CUGGAUGUGAGGACCUGUCACACUUGACUAGAGAUGAAGGCUGCUGAACCGACCCUUCUACGACGCAGACAUCGACCAAGAUGAACCGACCUUUUCCACCUCUUUUUCAAGGGAUGUCUAUAGAUGUUGGAUCUUGCCAAACUGUGCACAUGCCUCAAUGGCUGCUACGUCACUCUGCCCAACAGGACAUGGUCAC